rnacentral:rRNA from 1 species
UACGUAGGGGGCAAGCGUUGUCCGGAAUUAUUGGGCGUAAAGAGCGUGUAGGCGGUCCGGUAAGUCAGCUGUGAAAGUCAAGGGCUCAACCCUUGAAUGCCGGUUGAUACUGUCGGGCUAGAGUCCGGAAGAGGCGAGUGGAAUUCCCGGUGUAGCGGUGAAAUGCGCAGAUAUCGGGAGGAACACCCGUGGCGAAGGCGGCUCUCUGGGACGGUACUGACGCUGAGACGCGAAAGCGUGGGGAGCGAACAGG